UACGAAGGGUGCAAGCGUUACUCGGAAUUACUGGGCGUAAAGCGUGCGUAGGCGGGUCUUUAAGUCAGGGGUGAAAUCCUGGAGCUCAACUCCAGAACUGCCUUUGAUACUGAGGAUCUUGAGUUCGGGAGAGGUGAGUGGAACUGCGAGUGUAGAGGUGAAAUUCGUAGAUAUUCGCAAGAACACCAGUGGCGAAGGCGGCUCACUGGCCCGGUACUGACGCUGAGGUGCGAAAGCGUGGGGAGCAAACAGG
rnacentral:rRNA from 1 species